rnacentral:lncRNA from 1 species
UGCACUUCAAUAUAUUCUUGUGGAAAGGAUGUGGCAUGAUUUGUGUUGCGGGGACGGCGCUUUGGCCGGAGCCUCGCGCAACAACAUAGCCCACAUUAAGUUAGCAGAGAAAGAGGACCACGUUCCUCCCGAGGUAUUGUUCGCUUUGGGCGCUCCGGCCCGCGCGUCCAGCGCUGACGGGGGGAGACUGGUGCCCUCACGGGUUUGCCCUUCAAAAGGCGCCUCGAGAGGAAAGGAUUUCCACCCCCCAUUUAAGGCAUGGAACCUUUCCGCUACUAGCCGAUGUGGGACUAAAUUCAAGGCCCCCUCCCCUCUCCACAACA